rnacentral:rRNA from 1 species
GAUGAACGCUGGCGGCGUGCCUAACACAUGCAAGUCGAGCGAACAGAUGAGGCUCUUGCUCCUCUGAAGUUACCGGCGGACGGGUGAGUAACACGUGGAUAACCGACCUAUAAGACUGGGAUAACUUCGGGAGACCGGAGCUAAUACCGGAUAUUAUAUUGAACCGCAUGGUUCAUCAGACAAAGCCCGUUUUGCUGUCCCUUAUACAUGGUUCCGCGCCGCAUUAGCUAGUUGGUAAGGUAACGGCUUACCAAGGCGACGAUGCGUAGCUGACCUGAGAGGGUGAUCAGCCACACUGGAACUGAGACACGGUCCAGACUCCUACGGGAGGCAGCAGUAGGGAAUCUUCCGCAAUGGGCGAAAGCCUGACGGAGCAACGCCGCGUGUGUGAAGAAGGUCUUCGGAUCGUAAAGCUCUGUUAGUUGGGAAGAACAAAUGUAAAAGUAACUAUGCACGUCUUGACGGUACCUAAACAGAAAGCAACGGCUAACUACGUG